rnacentral:rRNA from 1 species
UACACUCCUGCGGGAGGCAGCAGUGGGGAAUUUUGGACAAUGGGCGAAAGCCUGAUCCAGCAAUGCCGCGUGAGUGAAGAAGGCCUUCGGGUUGUAAAGCUCUUUUGUCAGGGAAGAAACGGUGAGAGCUAAUAUCUCUUGCUAAUGACGGUACCUGAAGAAUAAGCACCGGCUAACUACGUGCCAGCAGCCGCGGUAAUACGUAGGGUGCAAGCGUUAAUCGGAAUUACUGGGCGUAAAGCGUGCGCAGGCGGUUUUGUAAGUCUGAUGUGAAAUCCCCGGGCUCAACCUGGGAAUUGCAUUGGAGACUGCAAGGCUAGAAUCUGGCAGAGGGGGGUAGAAUUCCACGUGUAGCAGUGAAAUGCGUAGAUAUGUGGAGGAACACCGAUGGCGAAGGCAGCCCCCUGGGUCAAGAUUGACGCUCAUGCACGAAAGCGUGGGGAGCAAACAGGAUUAGAAACCCUAGUAGUCCCAUGA